rnacentral:rRNA from 1 species
AACGAACGCUGGCGGCAGGCCUAACACAUGCGAGUCGAGCGAGGACUUCGGUCCUAGCGGCGGACGGGUGAGUAACGCGUGGGAACGUGCCCUUUGCUUCGGAAUAGCCCUGGGAAAAUGGGAGUAAUACCGGAUGAGCCCUUUGGGGGAAAGAUUUAUCGGCGAAGGAUCGGCCCGCGUUGGAUUAGGUAGUUGGUGGGGUAAUGGCCUACCAAGCCGACGAUCCAUAGCUGGUUUGAGAGGAUGAUCAGCCACACUGGGACUGAGACACGGCCCAGACUCCUACGGGAGGCAGCAGUGGGGAAUCUUAGACAAUGGGGGAAACCCUGAUCUAGCCAUGCCGCGUGAGCGAUGAAGGCCUUAGGGUUGUAAAGCUCUUUCAGCUGGGAAGAUAAUGACGGUACCAGCAGAAGAAGCCCCGGCUAACUCCGUG